rnacentral:rRNA from 1 species
UACGAAGGGGGCUAGCGUUGCUCGGAAUCACUGGGCGUAAAGCGCACGUAGGCGGUUUCUUAAGUCAGGGGUGAAAUCCUGGAGCUCAACUCCAGAACUGCCUUUGAUACUGGGAGACUUCGAGUCCGGGAGAGGUGAGUGGAACUGCGAGUGUAGAGGUGAAAUUCGUAGAUAUUCGCAAGAACACCAGUGGCGAAGGCGGCUCACUGGCCCGGUACUGACGCUGAGGCACGAAAGCGUGGGGAGCAAACAGGA